UACGUAGGGUGCAAGCGUUGUCCGGAAUUAUUGGGCGUAAAGAGCUCGUAGGCGGUCUGUCGCGUCGGCUGUGAAAACCCGGAGCUCAACUCCGGGCCUGCAGUCGAUACGGGCAGACUGGAGUUCGGCAGGGGAGACUGGAAUUCCUGGUGUAGCGGUGAAAUGCGUAGAUAUCGGGAGGAACACCAAUGGCGAAGGCAGCUCGCUGGGACGUGACUGACGCUGAGGAGCGAAAGCUAGGGGAGCAAACGGG
rnacentral:rRNA from 1 species